rnacentral:lncRNA from 10 species
CCAGAACCUAGUCCCCUUUAGAUGGGACCUGAGCUUUUCAGUAGCCACGGGGACACCCACCCCUUUCUCUCAGAAUCUUUGCAUAUAGGGCCUGGGGAGUCUGCAUUUUAAUAAGCUCCCCUUGAUGCUCACAGGUGCAGCAAACCACUAUGGCACACGUUUACCUAUGUAACAAACCUGCACAUCCUGCACAUGUACCCCAGAACCUAAGAUAAAUUUAAAAUAAAAAGCUCCCUCAUGACCCUGGCCCUCUCUACAGUUGAGAACCACUGUCCCACCCCUCACAUGCUUGUUAGUUUCCUCAGUGUCAUCCGGCUAUAAGCCUUGGGUCCCAUCCUAGAUACAGCUUCAGGGUCUAGCAGAUACACGCUGAAAUUCUCACGCCAUCACUUGCUAGUGAGGUGACCUUGGUUAGUUUUUCCUGCCUCGGGACUCCCUGUCUCUUUGAAAUGGGGACAUGGAUGUGCCGGCUGUUCUCUCUGUGCCCCUCCCUGCCCCCCAUAACAACUCUCCACCCUUCUCACCUAACUCUGUGCUUUGGGGAGCUGACCUGCACAGACUUGAUCACCAGGUUCCCUCAGCCUCUGGCUUGCUUUUGGGAUUGGCCGACGGACUCACUGGUGAGAUUAGAGGGCAGAAGAGAAGCCUGGAAUAGCCUAUUUCCAUAGCUCCUUCCUGCUGGAUGUGGUUUUAGGUCACGCUCUCUUCCUCGCUGACCUCAGCUCCUGUUGGGGUGGCUCCUCUCCCAUGGUCCAAGAACAAUAUUUUCUUUGGCCAAGAGUGGUAACAGCUCCCCACUUUUACUGGCCCUCAGGAAUUUCAAUAUCUCUUGGUGGUUCCUUUAGCCCUGUCCACACCUGUGUUUAUUAAACUCUCCUUAAUUAAACCCUUUGAGUGUGCCAACUGUCUCCUGCUGGGACCCUGAAUUAUACAACAAUAUCCUAGAGGCUUCAGAGAGGUCAUAUACAUGGCCUGGCACUUAGUGAAUGUUCGAUACACUUGUAGCUAUUGCCCUCAUUAUUACUACUAAUAUUCUUGUCAUUACUGUUAUCCCAACGUAACUAGAAUCAUAGGCUCUUGUAGUCGGAAAGAACCAAGGAAAUCAUUUCCUGUCUGAUGUUAGAAGAAUAGCACCUGGCCUGUGUUGGUUGAGUGAAUAGAUGAAUUUCUUCAGUUGGGGAUGUCUCUCCUUUCAUGCCUCCUGUUACAUGGCACUCCUUAACGGACAAGGUAGCUUCCUGUGUUACGGGAUGGCUUUGUUAAUUCUACCAGGAAGCUCAGCAAACAUAGGGCAGGUUAUUGAGUGCUUUGCUGUCCUUGGCACCCAAGGCAAGAGACACAGGAUUAUGACCUGUGAAUCAAAGACAAACGCUCACCAAAAUAAUCAACCCUCCCAGGAGCCUUGUACAGCCCAGGAGGAAGAUGCGGAUCCUUAACUCAGUCUGCAACCAGAAUCUUGACAGUCCUGAAAAUGGAAAAGCGUCUGGAGUUUUGGGUACUCCCAAUGCCCCAAUUAUCCUUUUAUUACCCUGAUUUACAACAUAACUUCAUAGGAGACGUUCUGAUGAGCAAAAUGACUUGGGUAACAAAAUGAUCUGGCAAAACCAGCAACUAAGGCAAGGACACAAGAAGAUGGCUGUCUACAAGCCAGGAAAAGAUUCUGCACCAGGAACUGGAUCAACUGGCACCUUGAUCUUGGACUUCCCAGCCUCCAGAACUAUGAGAUGAGAAAUAAGUGUCUAUUGUUUAAGCCUCCCAGUCUAUGGUAUUUUGUUAUAGCAACCCAAGAUGACAAAGACAACAAGCCUAAAAUGAAAAAUGGCAAAGUAACCAAGAUGUCCUUCAAGAGGGCUGUUUGUUGUCCAAAAAGCCUUUUUCCCUAAGCUUGAAAGCUUAACUUCUCAGAAGCAGGAAGCUGCCUUUUGCCAAGAGUAAAUGGGUGAGAAGUCCAAAGGUCUUGGUUUUGAAGUAUGUGCAACGAAUGUUCAAACAGGUUCUGAACAGAGCCAAAUCUACUUUUCUAUCUCCAAGAAAUCUCGAGAGAGCCAUGGGGCGGAAGUUUCAAGGAACAACGUCUCGUCCCAAACCGCAUGAAAUUGCAUUCCAAUCAGAAGCAUGGCCAAACCCACCAGAACGCAAAACGCAGGGAUGGAAGGACACUGACGACGAUGACCUUGUGAAAUGAGAGAAUUGUCUUGAAAGGGAGCGUUGUUACGGAAGAUGCUGAUUUCGGCAUUCCCUGUCUGAAGUGCUAACUAACCUCAUUGGGUUUUUGCUCUGCACCAGGUACUGAUAUCUAUACUUUUCCUGUGUAUUCACUUACUUGAUACCUGAUGGAGGAGGUAUUUUUCAGAGGAGAAAACUGAGUCAUGGACAAAGUCAGUGACGUGCCCGAGAUCGUUCAUCUAAGAUGUUGCAGAGCUGGGACUUGAACCUAGUUUGUCUGCCUCUGGGAUCUGAGCUGGUAAACAUCACAUGGCACUUUGUGGCUCGUUUGUGACUGGUCCGUCCAUUGGUGGAAAAUGGUUAGAAGUCCUACUCUGUGCCCCUCUGUGUGCCAGUACUUGGAGAUACUUCCUCCAGAUACUUCCCCAUGAAACUUAAUCUGGUGGUGGAAGACAAACAUAAAACAAAUAAUUGAUUUGAGCUCUGAGAAGUGCCACAAAGGCAACGCACAGGUAUAAUGAUGGGGGAGGGAGGGGUGGCACUUGGUCUGGGAAGUAGGGGAAAACUGUCUCUGUAAGGGACAUUUUAUCUCAGACCGGAAGACUGUUGUUAUGGGUUCAAUUCCAUCCUCUUCUCCCCAGCAUUCAUUUGUCAAAGUCCUAGCCCCUAGACCUCAGAAUGUGACCUUAUUUGGAAAUAGUGUUGUUGCUGAUGUAAUUAGUUAAGAUGAGGUUAGAGUAGAGUAGGAUGGGCCCCUGCUAUAAUAUGACUGGUAUCUUUAUAAAAAGGGGAAAUUUAGAGACAGACACACACACACAGGGAGAAGGACAUGAGAACAGGAGGCAGAGAUGAGGCUGGUAUUUCCACAAGCCAAGGAGUGCCAAAAACUGCCAGCAAAUCACCUUCAAAAGGAGCAUGACAUCUUGAUCUUGGACUUUCACAUUCCAGAACUGUGUUUUUAUCCACUCCCAUUGUGGUACCUUGUCAUGGCAGCCCUAGCAAACGAAUGCAGAGGGGAAGGUGCCAGUCAGGUGAGGAGGGAGUGGAGAGUAGGAGAGAGGGAAAAAGAAACAAAACCCAGGAAGAAGAGCUAGCAUGUGCAAAAUCCCCAACGGAGGAAGGAGCGUGACACAUUUGGGAAGGUGGAACCAGGGAGAGGGGAGGGUGGAAGAUGAAGCAGGUGGAACCAGAUUCUGGCGUCUCUAAUACACAACGUGGCAUUUCUAUGAAGGACGAUGUGAAACCAGUGAAGGGUUUUAACCAAGGGGCAACCAUAAUUGGAUCUGAAUUUUAAUAUCAUUGUUCUGUUGCUGUGUGGAAACUGAAUUUUGGGGGUGGUAGGAAAGAAUAAAUGUAGAACAGUUUAGAACCUAUUGUGUUUGUGCCCAGGAGUUUCAGCCGAAUUCUUCAGAUUGGUUAUUCUUCCAAACAGGCCAUUUUCCUCAAGCCAUUUCCCUACUCAGUACUCAGACACAUUCAUUGUUUACAGUGUACCAGGCUCUGAAACUGUGCUAUCCAAUAUGGUAGCCACUGGCCACGUGUGGCUCAUUUAAAUUAAAAUUAAAGACCAGUUGCUCUGUCUCACUGAGACGUGCCUAUGUGCUCCCUAGCCACAUCAUUCACUGAAAGUUCUGUUAGACAGCUCUGGUCUAGGGAAACACAGAGGAACAGGGCAUCAUCCCGUCCUUGUUUUUAGAGCAGUGAAAGAACUCGAGACAACUGGAUUUCGUAGACCAGCAAGAACUUUUUUUGUUUUUAAGUAUACUUUAAGUUUUAGGGUACAUGUGCACAAUGUGCAGGUUUGUUACAUAUGUAUACAUGUGCCAUGUUGGUGUGCUGCACCCAUUAACUCGUCAUUUACAUUAGGUACAUCUCCUAAUGCUACCCCUCCCCCGUCCCCCCACCCCACAACAGGCCCCGGUGUGUGAUGUUCCCCUUCCUGUGUCCAUGUGUUCUCAUUGUUCAAUUCCCACCUAUGAGUGAGAACAUGCGGUGUUUGGUUUUUUGUCCUAGACCAGCAAGAACUUUUAUAAAUACACUGAGAAAAUGAAAAGGCAAUUCACAGAGCUGGAAAAAUAUCUGCACUGCCUAUGACUGGUACGGGGUUCUGUGAAUAAUAUUUUAAGAUCUCCCAAAAUCAGAAAAUGAGAGAACAGUUCAGUAGAAAAAUGCAAGAGACUUGAACAGGGAUUUUCCAAAGGGGAACAUCUGAAUGGUUAAUAAAUAGAUGAAAAGGUACUCAAUCCUAUCAGGAGUCAGAGAAAUGCCCAUUAAAGCUGCAAUAAGAUGCUACCCACACACACCAGAAUGGCUUAGAUGGAAAAGACGAACAAUAUCAGACUAAGGACAUGCACCAGAGUUUCUAGGAUUAAAAGACUAUCCAUACUAAGUGUUGGCAAGGAUGUGGAGUGACUCAAACUCUCACAAGUGUUGGUGAGAGUGUAAUUGGCACAACCUCUUUGGAAAGCAGUUUGGUGUUCUCCACUAAAGACAGGGCGGCUUUAUGAUUUAUUGUCCAAACAAGCUCAUUUUCAGGAAUGAAAGGGGGAAGUGUUCACUGAUUCCAUAGGCAUUGAUUGGGAGAGUCCUUGAACAUACAAUUAACCUAAUCAAAAUAGAUAUUCAUGUGUGUGAUCCAGCAAAUCCACACCUAGGUGUGUAUGUGCAUGUAUAUAUCCAACAGAAAUGUGUGCACAAGUGACAAAAUGUUCUCAGUGGCACUUUUGUAGCAGCUCCAAACUGGCAGCAACCAGAAUGCCCUUCAUGCAGUGCAAUACCGUGCAUCAUCAAAAAUGAAUUGAUCUGUGUGAAAUACGACAACAGGGAGGAAUGUUAGAAAUAUAUUGGGGCCAGGUACAGCGGCUCAUGCCUGUAAUUCCAGCACUGUGGGAGGCCGAGGUGGGCAGAUCGCUUGAGGCCAGGAGUUCGAGACUAGCCUGGGCAACAUGGAAAAACCCUGUCUCUACAAAAAAUACAAAAAUUAGCCACGUGUGGUGGCAUGCAUCUGUGGGCCCAGCUACUUAGGAGUCUGAGGUGGGAGGAUCACCUGAGCCUGGGAGGCAGAGGGUGCAAUGAGCCAAAAUCACAUCACUGCACUCCAGCCUGGGCAAUGGAGUGAGAUCCUGUCGAAAGAAAGAACGAAAGAAAGAAUGAACGAAGGAACGAAAGGAAGGAAGGAAGGAAGAAAGGAAGGAAGGAAGGAAAGGGGAAAGAAAGAAAAAAAAGAAAAGAAAAAUGUUGGACAGAAACACCCAUGUAUGAAAGAGUAUAUCACUUACAAUCCAUUUGGAAUAGAAAACUAAAGGCAGGACUUUGUGUUGGAAAUCAGGGUGGUGUUUUCCUUUGGGGAGGGGGAAGGGGAUGAUGAGAAGUGCUAGCAGAGGGGCUUCUGAGGUGCUGGCAGUAUUUUAUUUUUUGACCUAAAUUGUGGUUACACAGGUAUUCAUUUUGUGAUAGUUCAGCUGUACAGCUAUAUUUUGUGCUCUUUUCUGUAUAUGUGCUAUAUUUCACAAGUAAAAAUCAAUGCAAAGCUAUUAUCUGGGCUUGUCAUAGAGUUGUCAGGUUUUUAUUUCACCUAAUAAGUACAUCUAAUAGAAUAAUGGCUACCUUCCUUUAAAUUCAUCACUUCAUAGGAGAUAAAAAAUUCAACAUCAAAGCAGAAGGGAUAUAAUUUUAAAAUUAAGAACAGAGCUAUAAAAUAAAUUUCUCAUUUUGAAAAACUGACUAGACUGAUGAUGUAACUUUGAUCAUUUCACAGGGAGCCAGUGGAAACGUUUCCACAGACCCAUUUUUGGAAACCUUUGGUUUAGUGGGGUCCCAUCAUCAGUUAUACAAGGCUGCCAAAGUCUCUUCUUUGAAACUAAAGAGGUCUUUUAAAAUAAGCUAGGGAAGUGCAGCGAUUAAACAAGGUCUAGUAGGUUUCCUUGCUGCAGGACUUAUCAGAGCCUUUACCAUACAAAGAUGCACUGUGACUCUCUAGGAGAUGGAUAAAUAAUGGGGCAUUUCCCAACCUCAUUUGCUAACAGAACCAUGUUUCUGUUGAACCAUUUCUAGGGACACGUGGCCAAAGGGACAUACUUUGGGGACCCUAAGCCUAUAGCAGGGGUCAGCAAGCCAAGGUCUAUAGUCUGGAUGCCUGUUUUU